AAGCCAGUAAGCAACACUCCCCAACAGCCUCUGCUUCAGCUCCUGCCUCCAGGCUUCUGCCUUGAGCUCCUGAUCUGGCUUUUCUCAGUGAUGGACUGUAACUGAUCUGAGGCGACCCCUGAGGAAGAAUUGUUUGACCAUCCCAAAGGGAUCAAGGCUCACAGGUUGAGAACCGCUGCUCCAGCCCCUUCGGCUGUUUUUAUUGCAGGCAUUGAAUGAGCUUCGGCUUGGAUGUCAGACUCCCGUUCCACUUCAUAUGUCAGCAUGUCAGUCAUUCGAGGAGUGUCUACAAGCAAGUGACAGAAGGAGGUUCAGCCCUAACUUAUCUAACCCUCUUCAGGCUGAAGACAAAAAGAUAAGACUAAGUAGGAACAUGCUGCGUAAAACAUUGUGGGAUUAGUGAGCAUCUGGGCAUCUUAAAUUUUGACUGGCAAUUGACUCUAACUUCAACAGACGAAGAUCCACCCUUCAUCCAGCUCUCCAGGAAUAACAGUAAUUGGAGGUAGAAUAAAGCAUUAGUCACAGACAGCUCCUGCUUAGGCUCUGAAACCUGUAAGGCAUCUGGAGAAUGCUGGAGUCUGGCUUCCUUGAACUGAGAACAUCAAAGGCAAUGAGAAAGACUGAGAGGCAUAAGGAUUGUUUUUCCUUUCAACUACUAAGAUGGCCGGCAGUUCAGUAAACUAAGCAUCAUUCAAGAAGGAUGGAGUGCAUUCGAAGAACUGGUACCCAUGAUGACUGGGGUCCUGCAAACCACAGGACAUUGACCCUGCCUGAAAGGUGGCUUGUUGCCAUGUGAAGAAAAGACAUUUAACUACCUAGAAGAUGGAGACAGCGGCAUCAAGAAGCAUGGUGACUCAUCUGAAGUCACUCAUCGGAAGACUCCAUGGGCUCUGACUCAUAAGGCCUUCCCGCAAGAGUCCUCUCUGGGCAAGGAUGUGUGAUCGCCAAGCAGAUGAGCAGUCUCCUGACCAGGCUGGGGCCUCUUGAGAUUUUUCUCUGGAUACCCACACUCAUAAAAGAAAGAACC
ensembl:processed_transcript C430002N11Rik RIKEN cDNA C430002N11 gene